GCCAGUGUGGCAUAAUGGGUAAGAGUGCUGGACUACAACUUGAGAGACUCGGGUUUGAAUCCCCACUCAGCCA